GAUCAACGCUGGCGGCGUGCCUAAUUCAUGCAAGUCGAGCGAACGGACGAGAAGCUUGCUUCUCUGAUGUUAGCGGCGGACGGGUGAGUAACACGUGGAUAACCUACCUAUACGCCUGGGAUAACUUCGGGAAACCGGAGCUAAUACCGGAUAAUAUUUUGAACCGCAUGGUUCAAAAGUGAAAGCCGGUCUUGCUGUCACUUAUAGAUGGAUCCGCGCUGCAUUAGCUAGUUGGUAAGGUAACGGCUUACCAAGGCAACGAUGCAUAGCCGACCUGAGAGGAUGAUCGGCCACACUGGAACUGAGACACGGUCCAGACUCCUACGGGAGGCAGCAGUAGGGAAUCUUCCGCAAUGGGCGAAAGCCUGACGGAGCAACGCCGCGUGAGUGAUGAAGGUCUUCGGAUCGUAAAACUCUGUUAUUAGGGAAGAACAUAUGUGUAAGUAACUGUGCACAUCUUGACGGUACCUAAUCAGAAAGCCACGGCUAGCGACGUG
rnacentral:rRNA from 1 species